rnacentral:rRNA from 1 species
GGUAAUACCAGAUAAUGUCCUUCGGGACCAAAGAUUUAUCGGCAUUGGAGCGGCCUAUCUCCUAUCAGCUUGUUGGUGAGGUAACGGCUCACCAAGGCAACGACGGGUAGCGGGACUGAGAGGUUGGCCCGCCACAUCGGGACUGAGACACUGCCCGGACCUCCACGGAGGGCUGCAGUAACGGAUAUUGGGCAAUGGGCGAAAGCCUGACCCAGCAAUGCCGCGUGCAGGAUGAAGCCCCUAGGGGUGUAAACUGCUGUCAGGGGUCAGAAAGCUGGUUUCGGCCAGUUGAUCAACCCCAGAGGAAGUCACGGCUAACUUCGUGCCAGCAGCCGCGGUAAUACGAAGGUGGCAAGCGUUAUUCGGAAUCAUUGGGCUUAAAGGGCACGCAGGCGGAACAGUGUGUGUUGUGUGAAAUCCCCCGGCUUAACCGGGGAAUUGCACAGCAAACUGCUGUUCUUGAGGCAGGUAGGGGUGCAUGGAACUCUUGGUGGAGCGGUGGAAUGUGUAGAUAUCAAGAGGAACGCCAGAGGUGAAGACGGUGCACUGGCACUGUCCUGACGCUGAGGUGCGAAAGCCGUGGGGAGCGAACGGGGUUAGAUACCCCGGUAGUCCACGCCGUAAACGAUGUCUACUAGGUCGUGGGUGUUCUGACACAUUCACGGCCGGAGCAAAAGUGUUUAGUAGACCGCCUGGGGAGUACGGCCGCAAGGUUAAAACUCAAAUGAAUUGACGGGGGCUCACACAAGCGGUGGAGCAUGUGGAUUAAUUCGAAGCAACGCGCAGAACCUUACCUGGGUUUGACAUGCUUGUAUGCCUUCUCUGAAAGGAGUUAGGCUGCCUUCGGGUGAAACUUGCACAGGUGCUGCGUGGCUGUCGUCAGCUCGUGUCGUGAGAUGUCGGGUUAAGUCCUUUAACGAGCGAAACCCUUGCCGUUAGUUGCCAGCGAGUAAUGUCGGGGACUCUAACGGGACUGCCGGUGUUAAACCGGAGGAAGGUGGGGAUGACGUCAAGUCCUCAUGGCCUUUAUGCCCAGGGCUUCACACGUGCUACAAUGGCAAUUACAGAGCGACGCGAUACCGCGAGGUGGAGCAAAUCGCAAAAAAAUUGCCUCAGUUCGGAUUGCAGGCUGGCAAUUCGCCUGCAUGAAGUCGGAAUCGCUAGUAAUCGCGUAUCAGCAAUGACGCGGUGAAUGUGUUCCUGAGCCUUGUACACAC